UCCCAUUACGCGUACCAACAGAGACCAAUUUACGUUCAAAAUGUCAUCUUUUUCUCCCAUACGCGUAAGGCUUCCCCCCAUACGCGUACCAACAUCUCAUACGCGUAUUGCCUAGUGCCAUACGCGUAUGACCAGAGGCCAGAACUCUCAGAUCUGCAAUGGCUUUCUCUGCUACGAGAUCUAUCCAAUCCCACCUUCCACAGUCCAAUUUUCACACAAAAAUCACUCAUAUCAUCUAACACGAAUCAUUCCCUGUUCUAUUUCACAAAUCCUAACAUCAUUACUUACAA
rnacentral:lncRNA from 1 species